rnacentral:rRNA from 1 species
UACGGAGGGUGCAAGCGUUAUCCGGAUUCACUGGGUUUAAAGGGUGCGUAGGCGGGCAGGUAAGUCCGUGGUGAAAUCCCCGAGCUUAACUCGGGAACUGCCAUGGAUACUAUUUGUCUUGAAUAUUGUGGAGGUAAGCGGAAUAUGUCAUGUAGCGGUGAAAUGCUUAGAUAUGACAUAGAACACCAAUUGCGAAGGCAGCUUACUACACAGUUAUUGACGCUGAGGCACGAAAGCGUGGGGAUCAAACCGG